UAUCCGUUGGUGAACCAGCGGAGGGAUCAUUACCGAGUUUACAACUCCCAAACCCCAUGUGAACCUUACCAAACGUUGCUUCGGCGGGAUGCCCCGGGCGCGGGCCGCAAGGCCUCAGCCCCGGAACCUGGCGCCCGCCGGAGGCCCAAACCAAACUCUUGUUUUUGUAGAAUCUUCUGAGUGGCCUUUUAGGCAAAAAAUGAAUCAAAACUUUCAACAACGGAUCUCUUGGUUCUG
rnacentral:misc_RNA from 1 species